AACGAACGCUGGCGGCAUGCCUAACACAUGCAAGUCGAACGAGACCUUCGGGUCUCGUGGCGCACGGGUGCGUAACGCGUGGGAACCUGCCCUUAGGUUCGGAAUCACUCACCGAAAGGGGUGCUAAUACCGGAUAAUGUCUUCGGACCAAAGAUUUAUCGCCUUUGGAUGGGCCCGCGUUGGUUUAGCUAGUUGGUAGGGUAAAAGCCUACCAAGGCGACGUUCCAUAGCUGGUCUGAGAGGAUGAUCAGCCACACUGGGACUGAGACACGGCCCAGACUCCUACGGGAGGCAGCAGUGGGGAAUAUUGGACAAUGGGCGAGAGCCUGAGACAGCAAUGCCGCGUGAGUGGUGGAGGCCUGAGGGGUGUAAAGCUCUUUUACCCGGGAAGAUAAUGACAGUACCGGGAGAAUAAGCUCCGGCUAACUCCGUG
rnacentral:rRNA from 1 species